UCCCCCACACACACGGUGCAGAAGCACACCGACUGAGGAUUCAACGUGCAGAGGAUCUGCUUCGGUAAAAUCAAGAAUACCAGUUGAUGACUGCUGUGCAGUGGAAAUAGAGGAUCUACUUAGAUAAAUUCAAGAUGAAUGUAGAAAAUU